GAUGAACGCUGGCGGCGUGCCUAAUACAUGCAAGUCGAGCGAAUGGAUUAAGAGCUUGCUCUUAUGAAGUUAGCGGCGGACGGGUGAGUAACACGUGGGUAACCUGCCCAUAAGACUGGGAUAACUCCGGGAAACCGGGGCUAAUACCGGAUAACAUUUUGAACCGCAUGGUUCGAAAUUGAAAGGCGGCUUCGGCUGUCACUUAUGGAUGGACCCGCGUCGCAUUAGCUAGUUGGUGAGGUAACGGCUCACCAAGGCGACGAUCUGUAGCGGGUCUGAGAGGAUGAUCCGCCACACUGGGACUGAGACACGGCCCAGACUCCUACGGGAGGCAGCAGUGGGGAAUUUUGGACAAUGGGGGCAACCCUGAUCCAGCCAUGCCGCGUGAGUGAAGAAGGCCUUCGGGUUGUAAAACUCUGUUGUUAGGGAAGAGCAAGUGCUAGUUGAAUAAGCUGGCACCUUGACGGUACCUAACCAGAAAGCCACGGCUAACUACGUGCCAGCCGCCGCAGUAA
rnacentral:rRNA from 1 species